GGGGACGUAGCCUAGACAGGCAUGGCAACAGGCUCCAGACCUGUGAUCCGUCGGUUCAAGUCCGGCCGUCCCCACCA
rnacentral:tRNA from 1 species